rnacentral:rRNA from 1 species
UUCUGGUUGAUCCUGCCGGACCUUACUGCUAUCGGGGUGGGACUAAGACAUGCGAGUCAAGCGUCUCUAGCUAUGUUGAGACGCGGCAUACGGCUCAGUAACACGUGGCUAACCUACCCUCAGGACAGGGACAACCCCGGGAAACUGGGGCUAAUACCUGAUAGGUGAGGAUGCCUGGAAUGGUUUCUCACUCAAAGGGCUUUGGGAACAUGCUUCCAUUGUCGCCUGGGGAUGGGACCGCGACCGAUCAGGUUGUUGGUUGAGGUAACGGCUCACCAAGCCUUUAACCGGUACGGGCCGUGAGAGCGGUAGCCCGGAGAUGGGUACUGAGACAAGGACCCAGGCCCUACGGGGCGCAGCAGUCGCGAAAACUCCGCAAUGCACGAAAGUGUGACGGGGCUACCCCGAGUGCCGUCCGCUGAGGAUGGCUUUUCCCUGGUUUAACUAGCCAGGGGAAUAAGGAGAGGGCAAGACUGGUGUCAGCCGCCGCGGUAAUACCAGCUCUCCGAGUGGUAGGGAUGAUUAUUGGGCUUAAAGCGUCCGUAGCCGGCUUAGCAAGUCUCCUGUUAAAUUCAGCGACCUAAUCGUUGAGCCGCGGGAGAUACUACUAGGCUAGGAGGCGGGAGAGGUCGACGGUACUUCUGGGGUAGGGGUGAAAUCCUAUAAUCCCGGGAGGACCACCAGUGGCGAAGGCUGUUGACUAGAACGCGCUCGACGGUGAGGGACGAAAGCUGGGGGAGCAAACCGGAUUAGAUACCCGGGUAGUCCCAGCUGUAAACGAUGCGGGCUAGGUGUUGGGGUGGCUACGUGCCACUUCAGUGCCGCAGGGAAGCCAUUAAGCCCGCCGCCUGGGGAGUA